UAUUGUCUGCUCGCUAUAAAGAGCAGUCUGGCCUGCCCACUGAUUAAUUUUAAAGGCCGCGGUACUCUGACCGUGCGAAGGUAGCAUAAUAAUUAGUCUUUUAAUUGAAGACUGGAAUGAAAGGUCGGACAAAUGUGAACUGUCUCAGUUUUUACUAUCUAAAUUAACUUUUAAGUGAAAAGGCUUAAAUACUCUUAAAGGACGAUAAGACCCUAUAAAACUUUAUAUAUAAAAAAAUACUCUUCGAUAUAUUCGUGAAAAGUCGUUUACUUCUUUAUAUAUUACGUUGGGGCGACGAGAGUAUAAACCUAACUGCUCUUAUAUUAUAAACAAUUAUAUUUGAUCAUUUGACCCUUAUAUAAAGAUCUAAAGAAAAAGUUACUUUAGGGAUAACAGCGUUAUUUUUUUUAAGAGUCCUCAUCGACAAAAAAGUUUGCGACCUCGAUGUUGAAUUAAAAUCUCCUUAUAGUGCAGCAACUAUAAAGGUAGGUCUGUUCGACCUUUAAAAUUUUACAUGAUUUGAGUUCAAACCGGCGCGAGAGA
rnacentral:rRNA from 1 species